rnacentral:lncRNA from 1 species
UGUUUAUACGUUGAUUAAAUCUUAAAACUUAUACGAAUCUUUUAUAUUUGUAUAAGUGUUCCAGCUAUCUUUAAAAUUUGAUUAUAUCUGAAUUGUUUAAGUACUGUGUCGAUGCCAUUUGUUUCGACUAGACUAAUAUUUGAUGAAGCGUAAUUAUUAGUGAACUGACUUUUUAUUAAAAAUUCGAUAUGUUUCGACUAGAAUAAUAUUUGAUGAAGUGUUCUAUUAUUUGGGAACUGAUUUGUUAUUGACGAUUGAUGCCACUUAUUUCGACUAAAUCAAUAUUGAAAUACGAUCUUAGCAAGAACGAAUUCAAUCCAAGCCAUAUUAUUGUGGUACAGACUCAUGAUGUAAGAUUGAGAUGAACAACCCUUAUAAAAAGGGAAACUUUAUUGUCGAACAUCUAACCCCUUGCGUUAUUUUUGAGUAUUAUGCAUAAUAUAAGGUACAAUGGGGCUGAUCACCUCAUUUACUCGCAGAAGAGUAUAUUUGAUUUUUAUAACUAACUUAUAUUUUUGAGGUAAUUUAGUUUUAUUAACUAGUGAUUUCUCUAACAGUUCUUGAUCCGUUUGUGAUCACUCAGCAUGAAAUUUGGGAGUAUCACACUUUAUUGAAUAUUGUUGCAGUAUUGCUAAUUCUUCAUAAUCAAUUGAAUAUUGUUGAACUCUCGAAAGAACUUAACUAUUUCCUUAUUGAUAUGUUAUUCAGCGUGAAAUUUAAGAAAAUCUUUGACUUGGAUAUGAUUCAUAUUGUUUCAACUACUUCACAAUCUUUAGAAUAUUGUUGAAGUUCUAAAGAGUUAAACUCUUCUAAUCAUGAUAUAUCAUUCUUGUAUUUAAAUUUGCUGAGCGAAUUAGUUGCUCACCCUUGCUAUAUCAUGACAUUAUUUUAGUUAAGCCCGAAUGUUUGACAAAAGACAAAGACAAAGGCAAAGCUUAAGAGUAGUUUAAUGUGAACUUUUAAUUGUUAUGUUACCUUAUGUAAAUUAAUUAUGUAAACCUUUUGAAUAUUUAAGGGUAUGCAAGUUAAGUUGAGGUUAGUAAAACCUGGGAUAAUGUUAUGUUUUUAUUAAGUCAAUGUAAUGAAUGAUGUAAUUCAUAAUGAAUGGGUAGUUAGAUGAGAUGUAGAUGUUGUACCGUGAGCACCGAAUUUGAAGUUUGAGGGACCCGGAUUUGAGGGCGUCACAUAUAAUGUUAUUUCUUUAAGUCAAAUACAAGCUCAUUUUCAGAAGGACUACUAAAUAGGCUUUUCAUAUCACCACAUAUGAUUGAAAAAUGCUUAACUACGGAACUACACGAACGCCCUUAAAAAAAUUAUCCACAUUUAUAAUCUUACUGUUGUUGUAUACUCUCUUUCUAUUAUUGAUUUUAAACAAUUCACCAUGAGUACCAAUUUCACUUGUUCAAUUUUGAUUUCGCUAGCCACGUGGUCAGCAGGUUGUUGAAUCUCUGCAAUUCUUUUGGUAUUUGGUUGCCACUUGUAACCCAAUGCUCGUUAGAGACUUUUUUAAACACCUUGCCUUCAUCAGGUAAUUAAUUCAUUCUCAUUUGCACAAAAAUCCCUUAUCAUACCGAAGGCAAUCAACUUUGAUGUAGAGAAUUAGUUUUGUCCACCUUCAGUUGAUCAACAUCCUCGUUUAAAGGAUUACUAUGUUUGCAACUACUAAACCCUUCUUGAAAUGGUUUUGUUUCAUCAGUUGGUGAUAUUGGAUUCGAAAUUUUUGUACCAUUCAG